rnacentral:rRNA from 1 species
CCUACGGGAGGCAGCAGUGGGGGAUAUUGGACAAUGGGGGGAACCCUGAUCCAGCGAAGCCGCGUGAGUGAAGAAUUAUUUCGGUGUGUAAAGCUCUGUCAGCAGGGGAGAAAGAAAUGACGGUACCUGACCAAGAAGCCCCGGCUAAAUACGUGCCAGCGACCGGGGUAAUACGGAGGGGGGAAGCGUUAUCCGGAAUUACUGGGUGUAAAGGGAGCGUAGAGGGUUAAGUCAGUCUGGAGGGAAAGGCCGGGGGCCAACCCCGGGACUGCUCUGGAAACUAUUGAACUUGAGUGCAGGAGAGGUAAGCGGAAGUCCUAGUGUAGCGGUGAAAUGCGUAGAUAUUAGGAGGAACACCAGUGGCGAAGGCGGCUUACUGGACUGUAACUGACGUUGAGGCUCGAAAGCGUGGGGAGCAAACAGGAUUAGAUACCCGAGUAGUC